UUUUUUAAAAAGAAUGUCUUCCAAAGAUUCUCCUACAGAUAGCCCAACUUUCACCUAUCUCAAGCUCGAUGAAAUUUCAGAAUCCCUAGACACACCUACCAUCGUCAUUCGUCUACUUCAUUUCUGGGAUGCGCGUGAUUUCAAACGCAACAAUCUUCUUCUGAGUGUGGAGUGUCUUCUUCUGGAUGAGGAGGCUAAUGUUAUACAAGCAUCUAUCCACCCACGGCAUCUUCACAAGUUUCGAUCUACACUCAAACAGGGUUGCCUCUUCAUGAUUACUAAUUUCGAUGUCAGGAAGCAACCAAAUUCCUACCGCCGUUCUGACCACGCGCACAAGAUUAUAUUCAAUGAUCACACCUCAAUGGAUGUUCUAGACCCUGACGAAUAAUCUUUUCCCUAGGAGUAUUUCUGCACUCGAAACUACAAGGACAUCCAAAGUUUGGUGGGUAAAGGAGAGAUCUUACCAGAUAUUGUUGCCCAAGUGUCAUGUAUUCGGAAUGCCGAUAAGGUCGACGAAACCACAACUCCACCGAAGACUAGGUCGAACCUGAUUCUUACGUGUGUAUUUGACAGUGGUGACACCGCUUAUGUCUCCGUCUGGGAGAACCAAGCAUCUACGGUCCGUGAAGAUGUUGCACUCCUAAAAGAAG